rnacentral:pre_miRNA from 1 species
GAACUACUCCCUCCGUUCGGAAUUACUUGUCGCAGAAAUCGAUGUAUCUAGACGUAUUUUAGUUCUAGAUACAUCCAUUUCCGAGACAAGUAAUUCCGAACGGAGGGAGUACCUG